rnacentral:rRNA from 1 species
AUUGAACGCUGGCGGCAGGCCUAACACAUGCAAGUCGAGCGGAGCGGCGGACGGGUGGGUGAUGCCUAGGUAUCUACCUGGUAGUGGGGGAUAACGUCCGGAAACGGGCGCUAAUACCGCAUACUAUCAGAUGAGCCUGGGUCGGAUUAGCUAGUUGGUGGGGUAAAGGCCUACCAAGGCGACGAUCAGUAUCUGGUCUGAGAGGAUGAUCAGUCACACUGGAACUGAGACACGGUCCAGACUCCUACGGGAGGCAGCAGUGGGGAAUAUUGGACAAUGGGCGAAAGCCUGAUCCAGCCAUGCCGCGUGUGUGAAGAAGGUCUUCGGAUUGUAAAGCACUUUAAGUGGGGAGGCGUUACCCACAGAAGAAGCACCGGCUAACUCCGUGCCAGCAGCCGCGGUAAUAC